ACGCAGCCUUGAAGACCCAGCCCCACAGUCCUGUCCAUCCUAAAGCCAUGGGUGGUCUUUUGCUCCCUGCUUUGGUCACUGCUGAGCCAUCGUGCCCUGAAGAAGCCCAAACCAGCCAAUGCUGAGAGACCACAUAGAGAGAAACCAUGCAGACAAGAGCAGAAGCUGCAACCUAUCAUCUGCAUCAACAGAUUGGAGCACAAGUGAUGUAUUCAGUGCUGCAUGCCCGUGGUUAAGACCCUCAACUAAGCUGAUAGAGGGUGUGGCUACUGCCUUCCAAGUUAGCUUUCAUCCACUCCUUACAACCUGUGUGAUUCUAGUGUACCAGAAUUCAUUGUUUAUGUACCACACCCAGUUCUCC